UGAUUUAUUGACAUGGAAUGAAUAAAUAAUUGCAUACAGGUCAGAAAUAGACGCAUACCAAAUGGAGUGGAGGAGAGGAGGUGGCUCUGCCAUUCUUCCUGAAACAUGAAGGUGAUGACGGGAAGCUUGAAACUCCCACAGCUCCACCUCUUGUUGUCAUAUUUUGAAGUUUUCUUAAUAACCCUAGGAUUUCUCAGUAUCGUGGUCUCUGCGUUUUUUCAAUGACCACUCAUUUAUCCUUUCAUUAUUGUUAUUAUUAUUGUUAUUAUUAUUUCACUUGCUCUUUAUAUGGGAAGAAAAACAGACUGAAUGGAGGGCUAAUCGUAUACAAACUGGAAGAGAAGCAGCAGUGAGG